CAGCAGCCGCGGGAAUACGUAGGGUGCAAGCGUUGUCCGGAAUUAUUGGGCGUAAAGAGCUCGUAGGCGGUUUGUCGCGUCUGCUGUGAAAUCCCGAGGCUCAACCUCGGGCUUGCAGUGGGUACGGGCAGACUAGAGUGCGGUAGGGGAGAUUGGAAUUCCUGGUGUAGCGGUGGAAUGCGCAGAUAUCAGGAGGAACACCGAUGGCGAAGGCAGAUCUCUGGGCCGUAACUGACGCUGAGGAGCGAAAGCGUGGGGAGCGAACAGGAUUAGAUACCCGUGUAGUCCCUGUCUCUUAUAC
rnacentral:rRNA from 1 species